UGGGGUGGACCAAUCAGGGUCCUCCCUGGUACCCUGAGAUUUUCUGAGCCUCUUUCCUUUCCCUUUAGGUGCCUUAAGAAUGUAAAGCCCUGGGGCAGGAAGCAGGAAAGUCCAUCUCCAUGUGUGGAAGCCUGAGAGAAAACAGCUGUCAGGCAGAGAGAAUCAGAGAUGAGAGGGUCUCCCAUUUUCAUUUUGCACCGGCUCCUGCAGAGGAUGCAGCUGACCCUGGGCUCACGAGCAGCACCCGGCCCCCAGGACAUGCUGAAUAAAUAUUCGUUGAAUGAAUCAUCUCCUUUGAUCAGAAACUGAGACUCAGAAGGGGACCAAAUGGUUCCCACUUGAGGACAAAAUGAGGAAAGAGCCAGGACAGUCUUCAUUUUGACAUCACUAGGAUCUGGUGACAGAAAUGGAGUGAAUUCAUCGCAAUUCCUUGUGGAUCCUGCAUCCACCAGAGAGACAGAAGCUCUUUAUACCAUGUCGCUGCCAGGCUUCUUGUAAAAAUUCUG